ACUGGUCACACAUGUGCGGUACAUGUAAGUGUUUAUGUGGUUUCUUACAUGUUCUUACAUGUUCAAUAAACCUAUCUGUGCAUUUCAAUUUCAAUGCAUUAAGAAGAGGUCUUUCACCCAUUUAUGCAUUUUGAUUUCAAUGCACUAAGAAAAUCUCUUUCAUCUGUCCAUGCACUUCAAUGGACAAAGAGGAAACGAAUGACUUGCAAAAAGCAAAGUAAAUAAUGGUCCAUAUCAAUAUCAGUAAUUACUACCAGAGGUUAAACUCAGAUGGGCAUAAGCGAUAAAUUUUGUUGAUUUGUCAAUUUGUUUCGUAUCAAAUAUAUAUUUUGUCUAGCUAAAUGGGGAAUUGGGGGCAAAUAACUGUCACAUCAGUUUAUAUUGUUUGGAACUGUAUGCAAGUUUGGUAUGAAACCUUUUUCCUGCUAUUGAAAGCUAGCAAUUCAUGUCUAAUGCCAGUGUUAUGAGGUAUGAAAUUAACACCAUAAAAAUUAAAAGUUUCCAUAUCAAAAAUCUAAUAUCUUGGGUCUUGUUCCUGUACUACUUUAAAAUGUUUUUUUAUGGAAAGGUUAUCUUAAUUAUAGUGCCGGCUAAUAUGACAAUCAGAUAUACCGGGAACUAGAGGA
rnacentral:misc_RNA from 1 species